UUCCGGUUGAUCCUGCCGGACCCGACUGCUAUCGGGAUAAUGCUAAGCCAUGGGAGUCGAACGCCCCCAGCCACGUAGGGGCGUGGCGUACGUCUCAGUAGCGCACGGCUAAUCUACCCUUGGGAGGCGUAUAACCCCGGGAAACUGGGGCUAAUACCCCAUAGACGAGCAACCCUGGAACGGGUGCUCAUCGAAAGGGCGUGGGAGCAUGCUUCCACGUCGCCCAAGGAUGAGGCUGUGUUCCAUCAGGUAGUUGGCGAGGUAACGGCUCGCCAAGCCGAUAACGGAUGCGGGCAGUGAGAGCUGGAGCCCGGAGAUGGGCACUGAGACAAGGGCCCAGGCCCUACGGGGCGCACCAGGCGAGAAACCUUAGCAAUGCGGGAAACCGUGACUGGGCUAUCCCGAGUGCCAGCCGCUAAGGCUGGCUUUUCCCCAGAGUAAAAACCUGGGGGAAUAAGCGGGGGGCAAGACUGGUGUCAGCCGCCGCGGUAAUACCAGCUCCGCGAGUGGUCGGGACGAUUAUUGAGCCUAAAGCGCUCGUAGCCGGUUCGGUAAGUCCUGUGCUAAAUCCAACGGCUCAACCGUUGGGCCGCAUGGGAUACUGCCGGGCUAGGGAGCGGAAGAGGCCAGGGGUACUCCCGGGGUAGGGGCGAAAUCCUAUAAUCCCGGGAGGACGACCAGUGGCGAAGGCGCCUGGCUAGGACGCGUCCGACGGUGAGGGGCGAAAGCUGGGGGAGCGAACCGGAUUAGAUACCCGGGUAGUCCCAGCUGUAAACGAUGCGGAUUGGGUGCCGGUACGGCUUCGGGCCGUAUCGGUGCCUCAGGGAAGCCGUUAAAUCCGCCGCUUGGGGAGUACGGUCGCAAGACUGAAACUUAAAGGAAUUGGCGGGGGAGCAC
rnacentral:rRNA from 1 species